rnacentral:ncRNA from 1 species
AUAUGUUCCAUGGCGAUAGGCCCCGCCAAGGGCUAAGAGGGAAGACGGUGUGAAUCCGUCGCGGUCCCGCCGCUGUUACCGGGGACGAAAACCGCGAAUCGGUUCGCCGCGCGUAAGAAGACCGGCGAACCGUCGAGCCACUGCCGAUCAGGCGGGAAGGCGCGGCAAGUAGGACGAUCCGGAAGUCAGAAGACCUGCCUAUCGCAUAUGCGGCCC